rnacentral:tRNA from 1 species
GGGGAGGUGCCAGAGCGGUUGAAUGGGCCGCCCUGCUAAGGCGGUAGGGUCCCUUGGGCCCUCGAGGGUUCGAAUCCCUCCCUCUCCG